rnacentral:lncRNA from 1 species
UUGCUACACAACCCUGAGCUUUUGAUAUCUCAGGACCUUUUCCUUUAGCUUCUUCAUUCUUCUUGAGACUCCAACAAUCCCUUUUUAAGUGCCCUUUCUUGCCACAGUAAUGACACUUGGCAUUUUUCUGGCUCCGUUGAUCUCCCUCUCAUCAUCGUUAAAGCUUCUGCCUGAUUCGAACUUGUCAAUCUGUCCUCCUUGUUCUUGCGCCUCCUUUCCUCUUCAAGAACAGCAGCUGCAAUAUCAUCGAAGACUAGAGUUACAAGAUUGUUGGUUAAGUUGAUGAUGAGUUGAUCAUACGAAUCUGGUAGACUUUGAAGUAAGAUUUCAGCACGUUCACCAGUCUCUAUAUUAUGCUCCAU